UACAGAGGUCCCAAGCGUUGUUCGGAUUCACUGGGCGUAAAGGGUGCGUAGGUGGUGAGGUAAGUCGGAUGUGAAAGCUCGGAGCUCAACUCCGAAAUGGCAUUGGAAACUACCUUGCUCGAGGGUUGGAGGGGGGACUGGAAUACUUGGUGUAGCAGUGAAAUGCGUAGAUAUCAAGCGGAACACCAGUGGCGAAGGCGAGUCCCUGGACAACUCCUGACACUGAGGCACGAAAGCUAGGGGAGCAAACAGG
rnacentral:rRNA from 1 species